GAUGAAGAACGCAGCAAAAUGCGAUAAGUAAUGUGAAUUGCAGAAUUCAGUGAAACAUCGAAUCUUUGAACGCACAUUGCGCCCGCUGGUAUUCCGGCGGGCAUGCCUGUUCGAGCGUCAUUUCAACCCUCAAGCCCCCGGGUUUGGUGUUGGGGAUCGGCUCUGCCCUUCUGGGCGGUGCCGCCCCCGAAAUACAUUGGCGGUCUCGCUGCAGCCUCCAUUGCGUAGUAGCUAACACCUCGCAACUGGAACGCGGCGCGGCCAUGCCGUAAAACCCCAACUUCUGAAUGUUGACCUCGGAUCAGGUAGGAAUACCCGCUGAACUUAAGCAUAUCAAUAAGCGGAGGA
rnacentral:misc_RNA from 1 species